AUUAAAUUGAAAAUGUCAUCCAAUAAUCCCAUCUCAGGCCUAAGUGAAUUAUGACCAUUAUACUUCGAGAGGCUGUCUAUUUUAGUUAAAAAUAAAAUAAAAUUUAGAGCACUAAAACAAAAAAGCAAAAUAGACAAAUUAACUAAAAUACCCAAAUUCUCAUACUUGUUGGCUGCACCAUAUGCGAUCAUAUGAGAUUAUCAUGCCAGGAAUCAUGUUCUACCUAUUUCCAGCAUACUAAAGGAUGAUUGAGAAACACAGAGGAGACAUGCCAAUCUUCGUUGAUAAGUAGAAAAGAAGAUCUAAGUUACAAUCCCAUCUAACUUUCAGAAGUUCCAAAACACUGUCAGGAGUAAUGUUCAUCCCAUCAAUUACAAUAACAUGCAAUUAAUGGAAAGUUUGAAAUUGCAAUUCUCAACGAUAAUUUGGGAGAAAACAUCAUCUUGGAAUUUUAAAUCACCAUCAUCUGAAAUCUGAAGCACAGGUCAAGACAGCCAAGAUCCUGGAGAAAAGAACAAACACUGGUAAGAACUUUACGUAAGCAGAGAACUUUCAGUAGGGAGACGAAACCUUCACGGUUUGUUGGUUAAAUGAUUCAUCUGAUUCCACCAAUUCUGAAAAUGGCAUAAUUUCAAGAAACUAUGAAUCUUUCUCAUCCUAGUAUCACAGAAUUAUAGUUUCUAAUUACUAAUGACUUUUUCCUUCUUCUAUUGCAGUCCACUUUAUUAAAGCAAUCAUCAAAUACUGUAGUAUAAAAUUUGAAGCAUCAAGGCAAGAAAAUAUUAUCUGACAGUGACUGAGCUAGAUGUUGAGCCAAGACACAGACCUUACUUGGCAAGUGAACUUAUCAAUUUGAAAAUGAUUGAAUUUCAAGCAGUCAGU
rnacentral:misc_RNA from 1 species